UGGGAAUUUGGACAAUGGGCGAAGGCCUGAUCCAGCAAUGCCGCGUGUGUGAAGAAGGCCUUCGGGUUGUAAAGCACUUUUGUCCGGAAAGAAAUCCUUGGCUCUAAUACAGUCGGGGGAUGACGGUACCGGAAGAAUAAGCACCGGCUAACUACGUGCCAGCAGCCGCGGUAAUACGUAGGGUGCAAGCGUUAAUCGGAAUUACUGGGCGUAAAGCGUGCGCAGGCGGUUUGCUAAGACCGAUGUGAAAUCCCCGGGCUCAACCUGGGAACUGCAUUGGUGACUGGCAGGCUAGAGUAUGGCAGAGGGGGGUAGAAUUCCACGUGUAGCAGUGAAAUGCGUAGGGAUGUGGAGGAAUACCGAUGGCGAAGGCAGCCCCCUGGGCCAAUACUGACGCUCAUGCACGAAAGCGUGGGGAGCAAACAGGAUUAGAUACCCUGGUAGUCCACGCCCUAAACGAUGUCAACUAGUUGUUGGGGAUUCAUUUCCUUAGUAACGUAGCUAACGCGUGAAGUUGACCGCCUGGGGAGUACGGUCGCAAGAUUAAAACUCAAAUGAAUUGACGGGGUCAUAGCUGUUUCCU
rnacentral:rRNA from 1 species